GACGAACGCUGGCGGCGUGCUUAACACAUGCAAGUCGAACGGAGUGGCGAACGGGUGAGUAACACGUGGGUGAUCUGCCUUGCACUUCGGGAUAAGCUUGGGAAACUUGGUCUAAUACCGGAUAGUGCAAGAUGAGGUCGCGGCUUAUGAGCUUGUUGGGGGGGUAAUGGCCUACCAAGGCGUCGACGGGUAGCCGGCCUGGGAGGGUGUACGGGGACAGUGGGCCUGAGGGAGGGAGCAGUGUGGAACGGGAGGCAGCAGGGGGAAAUAUUGCACAACGGGCGGACGCGUGUGGCGACGGCGCUGGGUGGGGGAAGAACGCCUUCUGGUGAGAAACUGCUUUCGACAGGUACGCGGUACCUGCAUAAGAAGCACCGGCUAACUACGUGCCAGCAGCCGCGGUAAUUC
rnacentral:rRNA from 1 species